UACGUAGGGUGCGAGCGUUAAUCGGAAUUACUGGGCGUAAAGCGUGCGCAGGCGGUUUUGUAAGCCAGAUGUGAAAUCCCCGGGCUUAACCUGGGAAUGGCAUUUGGGACUGCAAGGCUCGAGUGCGGCAGAGGAGACUGGAAUUCCUGGUGUAGCAGUGAAAUGCGUAGAUAUCAGGAGGAACACCGAUGGCGAAGGCAGGUCUCUGGGC
rnacentral:rRNA from 1 species